AGAGUUUGAUCAUGGCUCAGAGUGAACGCUGGCGGCAGGCCUAACACAUGCAAGUCGAACGGCAGCACAGGGGAGCUUGCUCCCUGGGUGGCGAGUGGCGGACGGGUGAGGAACACAUCGGAAUCUGCCUAUUUGUGGGGGAUAACCUCGGGAAACCGGGACUAAUACCGCAUACGACCUACGGGUGAAAGCCGGGGACCUUCGGGCCUGGCGCAGAUAGAUGAGCCGAUGUCGGAUUAGCUAGUUGGAGGGGUAAAGGCCCACCAAGGCGACGAUCCGUAGCUGGUCUGAGAGGAUGAUCAGCCACACUGGGACUGAGACACGGCCCAGACUCCUACGGGAGGCAGCAGUGGGGAAUUUUGGACAAUGGGGGAAACCCUGAUCCAGCCAUCCCGCGUGUGCGAUGAAGGCCUUCGGGUUGUAAAGCACUUUUGGCAGGGAAGAAACGGCGCCGGAUAAUACCUGGCGUCACUGACGGUACCUGCAGAAUAAGCACCGGCUAACUACGUGCCAGCAGCCGCGGUAAUACGUAGGGUGCAAGCGUUAAUCGGAAUUACUGGGCGUAAAGCGUGCGCAGGCGGUUUGGAAAGAAAGGUGUGAAAUCCCAGAGCUUAACUUUGGAACUGCACUUUUAACUGCCAAGCUAGAGUAUGUCAGAGGGGGGUAGAAUUCCACGUGUAGCAGUGAAAUGCGUAGAGAUGUGGAGGAAUACCGAUGGCGAAGGCAGCCCCCUGGGAUAAUACUGACGCUCAUGCACGAAAGCGUGGGGAGCAAACAGGAUUAGAUACCCUGGUAGUCCACGCCCUAAACGAUGUCAACUAGCUGUUGGGGCCUUCGGGCCUUAGUAGCGCAGCUAACGCGUGAAGUUGACCGCCUGGGGAGUACGGUCGCAAGAUUAAAACUCAAAGGAAUUGACGGGGACCCGCACAAGCGGUGGAUGAUGUGGAUUAAUUCGAUGCAACGCGAAAAACCUUACCUACCCUUGACAUGUCUGGAAGGCCGAAGAGAUUUGGCUGUGCUCGCAAGAGAACCUGCACACAGGUGCUGCAUGGCUGUCGUCAGCUCGUGUCGUGAGAUGUUGGGUUAAGUCCCGCAACGAGCGCAACCCUUGCCAUUAGUUGCUACGAAAGGGCACUCUAAUGGGACUGCCGGUGACAAACCGGAGGAAGGUGGGGAUGACGUCAAGUCCUCAUGGCCCUUAUAGGUGGGGCUACACACGUCAUACAAUGGCUGGUACAGAGGGUUGCCAACCCGCGAGGGGGAGCUAAUCCCAUAAAGCCAGUCGUAGUCCGGAUCGCAGGCUGCAACUCGCCUGCAUGAAGUCGGAAUCGCUAGUAAUCGCGGAUCAGAAUGUCGCGGUGAAUACGUUCCCGGGUCUUGUACACACCGCCCGUCACACCAUGGGAGUGGGUUUCACCAGAAGUAGGUAGCCUAACCGUAAGGGGGGCGCUUACCACGGUGGGAUUCAUGACUGGGGUGAAGUCGUAACAAGGUAACCGUA
rnacentral:rRNA from 1 species